rnacentral:rRNA from 1 species
AAGAUGGCGGACCGGCGCACGGGGUGAAGUAACACGUAUCCAACCUGCCGAUAACUCUGGAAUACCCUUUACGAAAGAAAGAUUAAUACCGGAUGGCAUACGAAUAUCGCAUGAUACUUUUAUUAAAGAAUUUCGGUUAUCGAUGGGGAUGCGUUCCAUUAGUUUGUUGGCGGGGUAACGGCCCACCAAGACAACGAUGGAUAGGGGUUCUGAGAGGAAGGUCCCCCACAUUGGAACUGAGACACGGUCCAA